ACUGGGAAUGAAAUUAGGGAGUUUGCUGUAUGUAAAGCAUAAACAGAAGAUAUUAGCGAAGCAGGUCAUUCAACAUCUUUCUUAUCUUAACAUUGUUGAGGAAAAUUUGUUUCAUAAGAUAUUUUUAAUCGUUAAAAGCUUCGAAAAUAUCAUAUUAGGUAUCCACAGAACCUAAAUAUGAAGUUUGUGUUUGAGCUACAGCUGUUUUUACAGCUUCUCUAUGUAGCUUCACAGAAAACUGCAAAUGAAUACCCGUCAUUCUUUAAUAUCGGAGGCGUACUGAGUAAUAAUGAUAGCGAGACCCAUUUUUCCAUGGUUAUAGCACAUCUUAAUUUUGAUCAACAAUAUGUUCCCAGAGGUGUUACGUAUUACGACAAAACUAUACGAAUUGAUAAAAAUCCGAUCAAAACAGCUCUAGAUGUUUGUAAGCAUUUGAUAUCAAGACGAGUAUAUGCAGUAGUAGUGUCACAUGAGCCUACCGGCGAUUUAUCUCCAGCAGCAGUCAGCUACACUAACGGGUUUUACCAAAUACCUAUUAUAGGAAUAUCUUCACGAGAUGCUGCAUUUUCCGAUAAAAAUAUACAUGUUUCAUUUCUAAGAACAGUUCCACCGUAUUAUCAUCAAGCAGACGUUUGGUUGGAAAUGCUCAGACAUUUUGGCUAUACUAAAGUGAUUAUUAUACAUAGCUCCGAUACAGAUGGACGAGCAAUUUUAGGUCGGUUCCAAACUACAUCGCAAACUAACUAUGACGAUAUAGAUGUCCGUGCAACUGUUGAAAGCAUAAUUGAAUUUGAACCAAAAUUAGAAACAUUCACGGAUAAUUUAUUAGAAUUUAAAACGGCGCAGUCAAGAGUGUAUCUACUAUAUGCAAAUACCGAAGACGCAUAUGUAAUUUUUCGAGAUGCAGCACAGAACAAUAUGACAGAAACUGGUCACAUAUGGGUUGUCACUGAACAAGCAUUACAAGCUAAUAAUACUCCAAUAGGAGUUUUAGGUUUGAGACUAAACUAUGCGAACAGUGAAAAUGAGCACAUAAGGUAUGACCCAUUCGCAGGAUGCAAUAUACGUUUUAGCGUCUGCCAUUAAAGAAAUGAUGACGCAUAAUGAAACAAUCACAGAAGCCCCAAAAGAUUGUGACGAUACCGGCUCAAUUUGGGAAUCUGGUCGUAAAAUGUUCAAUUAUUUAAAGACUCGAAAUAUUCGGGGUGCGACUGGCCAAGUAAGUAUUGGUUACUAUUGACUUUAAACGUUAAAUUAUAUUUAGGUUGAACAGACAUACCUUUUUGAACGGGACAGUACCUUUUUUCCGAC